rnacentral:rRNA from 1 species
UAGCGAGUAUGGUGGGUGAGAAACCCGCCUACCGGAAGCCCGAGGUUUCCCGCGCUCUGUGCAUCAGCGCGGGGUUAGCCGGGCCUAAGCUGAGGCCGAAAGGCGUAGGCGAUGGGGAGCCGGUUGAUAUUCCGGCGCCACCCCGUCUGCGCGACCGCGGAAACGCGGUCAGACCGCUCCGGUGACGCGUGCUCCCUGGGUGGGCGUGGGACUGGUCGUCCACGUUCUUCGGCCCGGCCACGGUCUGGCCGGGCCCGGAGAAGAGCCCUCAGGCGAUCCGUCUGGGGAGGGCGCCGAGAAAAGCCGUGGCGGCAGCGGACGGGGUGCCCGUACCGCAAACCGACACAGGUGGGCGAGGGCGAGUGCCCACAGGUAGCCGAGCGACACCUCGCUAAGGAACUCGGCAAGAGUGCCCCCGACCUGCGGGUGGGGGCUGCCGUGGCGGUCGGUCGUCGGCCGGCUCGAUCCCGGUCGGCGACGGGCCGCCGGCGGCCGCAGUGAACGCGCCGGGGCGUCUGUUUACAAAAAACACCGGUCCCUGCUCAAGCCGUAAGGCGCUGUAUAGGGGCUGCCGCCUGCUCAGCGCCGGGACCUAAGGCUGGUCGGCUCGACCACGAGCGUCGGGUUGACCCCGAAACCCCGGUGUAGCUGCGGUGGUAACCAUGACCACCGGAAGGUAGCGAAAUGCCUUGGCGGCUAAAUACCGCCGUGAACGAACGGCUGAACGACCCCGGCACUGUCUCAGCGAGGCCCUCGGCGAAACUAAAGGCCCCGUGAAAAUGCGGGGGACCCGCACCCGGACACCAAGACCCCGUGGGACUUUACUGGAGCCUGGUAUGGGGCCCACGCGCCCUCACCCGGCCGGUGGACGGCCGGGGACCGUGCCAGGUGGCCAGUUUAGCUGGAGCGGCUGCCUCCGAAAAUGUACCGGAGGCGUCCAAAGGUCCCCUCAACACGGAUGGAAAUCGUGGGGAGCGUGCAAGGGCUAAUAGUCCAAGGGGGCCUGACUGUGAGGGCGACCGCCCGAGCAGGGCCGAAAGGCGGGCCUAGUGAAGCUUGGGGGUCCACGUAGGUGGCCCCUGGCGGCAUCGGGUCAAAGUUCCCCGGGGAUAAGAGGUCAGUCGCGCCCGAGAGACCCCAUCGACGGCGCGGUUCGAUCCUCCGAUGUCGGCUCGCCUCAUCCUGGGGCUGAAGCCGGUCCCAAGGGUUGGGGUGUUCACCCAUGAAAGAGGCAUGUGAGCUGGACUUAGACCGGCGUGAGCCAGGUCGAAUCUUUAUCCGGUGCGGGGGUGAGGAGGCUUGCGGGGUGGGGGAACCGCCGGCGUACCGGUUGUGAUGCCCGUCGCAUCGCCGGGUAACCAACGUUCCUCAGGGAUAAGCGCUGAACGCAUCUAAGUGCGAAGCCCGCCCCAACACGAGGCCUCCGGCCCACAGGGCUAAGGCCCCAGGGAGACGACCUGGUUGAUAGGGGGGAGGUCGACAGUCGGCAACGACUGCAGCUGACCCCUCCUAAUGGCCGAGCGCUUGGCCC